GCACCUGCGACUUUCACUUAGAGGCCUGGAUCCGCACCUGCGAUUCCCUUUUCACAGAUGCAGCACCGCUUCUGCGGUAUUACUUCCGCAUUUGCGGAACCUGUAGCUCCUUCCCAGCUCCGCUUCUACGAUGGCUCCACUGCAUCUGCGGCUCCUGCUGGACUCCCCAAUUUUUCUUCUGCAGUUGAAAUGCCGCUUCUGCGGCUCCGCACCUACGGGACCCAAACCGCAGUUGCGGUUAUGACAGAUGCCAACAAUGUAAAAACCUUCCUAACUCCAAAUUCAACUUCCGCUAAGCACCAGAAACUCACCCGAGGGCUCUGAGACCUCAACCAAACAUGCCAGCCAAUCCCAAAACAUCAUUCAAACUUAUUCCAACCUUUGGAACGCUCAAAACAACACCAAAACACCAAUUUAACCUCGGAUUUAAGCCUAAGAACUCCAAAACUCUAGAAAUGCGCUUUCGAUUAAAAAGUCUAUUAAACCUCGUCCGAAUGACCUGAAUUUUGCACAUACGUCACAUUCAACACUACGAAGCUACUCCAACUUCCAGAAUUCCAUUCUGACCCUCGGAUCAAAAUCUCACUAUCGGACCGGAAACUCCAAAAAUUCAACUUUCGACAUUUCAAGCCUAAAUUAGCUACGGACCUCCAAAACACAAUCCGAUCAUGCUCCUAAAUCCGAAAGUUUCCAACAGAGCUAACGGAACCAUCGGAUUUCCAUUCCGAGAUUGUCUUCACAUUGCUCCAACUACCAUCAACUUUCCAACACUUAAGCUCUCAUUUAGGGACUAAGUGUCCCAAAACUCUCCGAAACUCAAAACCAAACAUCCCGGCAAAUCAAAAUAGCAAAAAUAAACUUGGAGAAAGCAAUUAAUAGGGGAUAGGGGCGUUAAUUCUUAAGACGACCGGCCGGGUCGUCACAAUUCGAUAUCAAAUGGGACAGGGUACCGGCCUACCCAUAAGUUUGUAGCAAAACUCUGACAGAAUGACUCAUAGACUCGCUGUACUCCGAAUGAGGUAGAGUCUUACCGAUUCUUUGCUGAAUGCUACUCUUGUAUACUAUGAGGGCUCGUCAAACUAAUUGUUUAUACCUGCAGGCAUGAAUGCAACAUCCCCAACAAAAGGACGUCAGUACGAAUACUGUACUGAGUAUGUAAGGCAGAACUGAAACAUAACAAUAAGUCAACAUUAACUAAAGAUAUGGAAGAAAUAUAGAGUAAAUGACUUAAACUGUAAGUUUGGAUGACUCUGUAAAUCAUGAAAUACUUAUAGUGCUAUGCAUAUGCGUAUGAAUGUCAUGUCGUGCAUGGGUACAUGUGUUCGUAACAUCAUCAUACCUCUGAGAGCAUCCCAUCACAUCAUCAUGACCACUGUGGGCAAAUCAUCAAUGUAUACCAGCUGAUCAGGUGGUGGUGCGUAUAUAACGCCAUAAAUUUCCCAUAUUCCAUAUAUAUAUAUAUAUAUAUAUAUAC
rnacentral:lncRNA from 1 species